UACAGAGGGGGCAAGCGUUGUUCGGAAUUACUGGGCGUAAAGGGCGCGUAGGCGGCCAACUAAGUCGGACGUGAAAUCCCCGGGCUCAACCCGGGAACUGCGUCCGAGACUGGAUGGCUUGAAUCCGGGAGAGGGAUGUGGAAUUCCAGGUGUAGCGGUGAAAUGCGUAGAUAUCAGGAGGAACACCGGUGGCGAAGGCGGUUCUCUGGGCAUUACCUGACGCUGAGGAGCGAAAGUGUGGGGAGCGAACAGG
rnacentral:rRNA from 1 species